GUCUAUGGCCAUGGUACCCUGAACAAGCUGGAUCUCAUCUGAUCUCAGACGCUAAGCAGGGUUGGGCCUGAUCAGUACCUAGAUCAGAGACCACCUAGGUAGACCAGGUGCUGUAGGCG
rnacentral:rRNA from 1 species